UGCCUGUAAGACUGGGAUAACUCCGGGAAACCGGGGCUAAUACCGGAUGGUUGUUUGAACCGCAUGGUUCAAACAUAAAAGGUGGCUUCGGCUACCACUUACAGAUGGACCCGCGGCGCAUUAGCUAGUUGGUGAGGUAACGGCUCACCAAGGCAACGAUGCGUAGCCGACCUGAGAGGGUGAUCGGCCACACUGGGACUGAGACACGGCCCAGACUCCUACGGGAGGCAGCAGUAGGGAAUCUUCCGCAAUGGACGAAAGUCUGACGGAGCAACGCCGCGUGAGUGAUGAAGGUUUUCGGAUCGUAAAGCUCUGUUGUUAGGGAAGAACAAGUACCGUUCGAAUAGGGCGGUACCUUGACGGUACCUAACCAGAAAGCCACGGCUAACUACGUGCCAGCAGCCGCGGUAAUACGUAGGUGGCAAGCGUUGUCCGGAAUUAUUGGGCGUAAAGGGCUCGCAGGCGGUUUCUUAAGUCUGAUGUGAAAGCCCCCGGCUCAACCGGGGAGGGUCAUUGGAAACUGGGGAACUUGAGUGCAGAAGAGGAGAGUGAAAUUCCACGUG
rnacentral:rRNA from 1 species